CCUACGGGAGGCAGCAGUGAGGAAUAUUGGUCAAUGGGCGCGAGCCUGAACCAGCCAAGUAGCGUGAAGGAUGACUGCCCUACGGGUUGUAAACUUCUUUUAUAAAGGAAUAACGUGAGGCAUGUGUGCCUUUUUGUAUGUACUUUAUGAUUAAGUAUCGGCUAACUCUGUGCCAGCAGCCGCGGUAACACGGAGGAUCCGAGCGUUCUCCGGAUGUAUUGGGUUUAAAGGGUGCGUAGAUGGGUUGUUAAGUCAGUUGUGAAAGUUUGCGGCUCAACCGUAAAAUUGCAAGUGAUACUGGCAGUCUUGAGUACAGUUGAGGUAGGCGGAAUUCGUGGUGUAGCGGUGAAAUGCUUAGAUAUCACGAAGAACUCCGAUUGCGAAGGCAGCUUACUAAACUGCCACUGACAUUGAUGCUCGAAAGUGUGGGUAUCAAACAGGAUUAGAUACCCGAGUAGUC
rnacentral:rRNA from 1 species